UGUCUCUCAAUCACUCUUUUCUCUUGUUCUCACUGUGUCAGUUAUUAGUUCAGUCUGUGUUCUGGUUCUUCUGGUGUUACUGGUUCUGCUGGUGAGACGACAUGUUCAAAGGAAAUCUGAAAGGGAGGAGUUGGAGAUGAUGACAUCACAUACAGCAAAGGCUCAAGUCAUCAACAACAGCCAAUCAGAGGAAGCAGAGACUUUAAAACAGAGCCAGACGUCAUCUACUCCUCACUGAAGUAGUCCACCAGUCCAACCACCGACGUCCAGCUGCUGGUUUCUAACUGGUCCACACAGCCACACAGUGUUGAUUUGCAUAUGUUCUCUAGUGCCUUCUCAUUAAAAUAUACACUCUCACUGUUUGUAUGAGUGUAUAUUGUAUAACUAAAAUAUGAAUGUCAUCUGUACAGCGUUGUCCUGCCUUCUCUGCAGCAUCAAUAAACUUUGCUGUCACAUGUU